UGGGGAAUUUUCCGCAAUGGGGGGAACCCUGACGGAGCAACGCCGCGUGAGUGACGAAGGCCUUAGGGUCGUAAAGCUCUUUCGCCAGGGAUGAUAAUGACAGUACCUGGUAAAGAAACCCCGGCUAACUCCGUGCCAGCAGCCGCGGUAAUACGGAGGGGGUUAGCGUUGUUCGGAAUUACUGGGCGUAAAGCGCACGUAGGCGGACCAUUAAGUCAGGGGUGAAAUCCCGGGGCUCAACCCCGGAACUGCCCUUGAUACUGGUAGUCUUGAGUUCGAGAGAGGUGAGUGGAAUUCCGAGUGUAGAGGUGAAAUUCGUAGAUAUUCGGAGGAACACCAGUGGCGAAGGCGGCUCACUGGCUCGAUACUGACGCUGAGGUGCGAAAGCGUGGGGAGCAAACAGGAUUAGAUACCCCCGUAGUCC
rnacentral:rRNA from 1 species